UUGUACUCUAUUUAAUUACAUACAAGUAGUUUCAGCCUGGAUUACCCCUUUAAGGAUUUGAUGAACAUUUAACUUGAUGAAUGCUUAGAUUGUAUAAAUUAUUGAUGGACAGUAAGGGAUCAAACAUUGAUAGGCCUACACAGGUGCAAAUAAAAAACAGUGGCCGCGGAACGGUUUUCAAAGUAAAGGGGCUGACCAUGAAAAAAAUCACAAUCAUAGGGUAAUUUUACGUUUUUUUACACGGUUUUCGAAAAAAGUGGGGGUUGAAGCCCCCCCCCCCCCCCCUCCCCCCGCUUCCGCGGCCCCGAUAUAUCAGAUUUUGAGACGGGCAUAAAAAAAUGUAUUAGCGAAUCAGGAAAAAAGGGUUAUCAUUCCAAACUCUGUGAUAUUAUCGCGGAAUUGACAAAAAAAAGGGGGAAAGGUAAAGGGUUUCAUCCGAAAAUGGGCGCAGGUUUAAUCAUCACUUCAAAAGGCGGGGUGGUGGGCACACAAGAAGCCCUGUGAACCUUUUACCAUCGUCAAUGCAGGCCUAUAUUAUAACAUCCGACUUGAAAAAAGAUUGUCGUACCUUUUUUCACUAAUUAAUGAUGGCAUCCAAGAUGAUCGCAAUCUUCCUUCUCAUAAGCGUUAUCGGGGUGGUGAUGAGCACGUAUGGUAUUGACAAUGAACGUGACUACGAGGUCAACUACGAGGUCGAUAUCGCAUUUCUCAAAGGUCUCUUAGACGAGGAGGUAUCUGAGGAAAGCGGAUGUGAUACCCCUCCCGGCGUAAAGUGUAAGGGAUGCAUGGCCGGUACUACACCCUAUGGUUGCACGGAAGUAUAAAAAGGACUGGCUGUUUUACCUGGCUGGGAUGUCGUCAAGAUAGCGUCGUUCAUGACCCUGACUCGAUCUGGGGAGCGUUUCAUCAAUAUUUUCAUCCGACAAGUUGUCAGAUCUGACAUCUUUCAAUGAUUUUGAUUGGCAGAGAGGCACUGUUCCUAUGGUAACUGUCGGAUAAAAUGGGACUUGUCGGAUAAAACGUCCGACAAGUCCUUUCAUGAAACG